rnacentral:rRNA from 1 species
CCUACGGGAGGCAGCAGUGAGGAAUAUUGGUCAAUGGGCGCGAGUCUGAACCAGCCAAGUCGCGUGAGGGAAGACGGUCCUAUGGAUUGUAAACCUCUUUUGUCGGGGAGCAAAAGACGCCACGCGUGGCGUUUCGAGAGUACCCGAUGAAUAAGCAUCGGCUAACUCCGUGCCAGCAGCCGCGGUAAUACGGAGGAUACGAGCGUUAUCCGGAUUUAUUGGGUUUAAAGGGUGAGUAGGCGGGAAGUCAAGCGUGCUGUAAAAUGUGGGGGCUCAACCCGCGCCGGGCCGUGGAAAUGGGCUUGCUUGAGUGCGCGGAAAGCAGGCGGAAUGCGUGGUGUAGCGGUGAAAUGCAUAGAUAUGACGAAGAACCCCGAUUGCGAAGGCAGCAUGCUGGAGCUCAACUGACGCUGAUGCACGAAAGUGCGGGUAUCGAACAGGAUUAGAUACCCUAGUAGUC